rnacentral:rRNA from 1 species
UACAGAGGGUGCGAGCGUUGUUCGGAAUUACUGGGCGUAAAGCGCACGUAGGCGGCUUUCUAAGUCGGGGGUGAAAUCCUGGAGCUCAACUCCAGAACUGCCUUCGAUACUGGAAAGCUCGAGUCCGGGAGAGGUCAGUGGAACUGCGAGUGUAGAGGUGAAAUUCGUAGAUAUUCGCAAGAACACCAGUGGCGAAGGCGGCUGACUGGUCCGGUUCUGACGCUGAGGCGCGAAAGCGUGGGGAGCAAACAGG